rnacentral:rRNA from 1 species
CCUACGGGAGGCAGCAGUAAGGAAUCUUCCGCAAUGGGCGAAAGCCUGACGGAGCAACGCCGCGUGGGCGAUGAAGGCCUUCGGGUCGUAAAGCCCUUUUCUGUGGGACGAUAAUGACGGUACCACAGGAAUAAGCCACUGCUAACUACGUGCCAGCAGCCGCGGUAAUACGUAGGGUGCGAGCGUUAAUCGGAAUUACUGGGCGUAAAGCGUGCGCAGGCGGCUUUGUAAGACGGAUGUGAAAUCCCUGGGCUUAACCUAGGAACUGCGUUCGUGACUGCAAAGCUGGAGUGCGGCAGAGGGGGGUGGAAUUCCUGGUGUAGCAGUGAAAUGCGUAGAGAUCAGGAGGAACACCGAUGGCGAGGGCAGCCCCCGGGGUUGACACUGACGCUCAUGCACGAAAGCGUGGGGAGCAAACAGGAUUAGAUACCCCGGUAGU